rnacentral:rRNA from 1 species
UAAUACGUAGGCAGCAAGCGUUGUUCGGAAUUAUUGGGCGUAAAGAGUAUGUAGGUGGUGUCGUAAGUUUGGUGUGAAAUCUCCUGGCUUAACUGGGAGGGUGCGCCGAAGACUGCGAUGCUGGAGUAUGGGAGAGGGAAUCGGAAUUCCUGGUGUAGCGGUGAAAUGCGUAGAUAUCAGGAGGAACACCUGUGGUGUAGACGGGUUCCUGGACCAUUACUGACACUGAGAUACGAAAGCGUGGGUAGCAAACAGG